rnacentral:rRNA from 1 species
UACGGGGGGGGUAAGCGUUGUUCGGAAUUACUGGGCGUAAAGGGCUCGUAGGCGGCCAACUAAGUCAGACGUGAAAUCCCUCAGCUUAACUGGGGAACUGCGUCUGAUACUGGAUGGCUUGGAUUCGGGAGAGGAAUGCGGAAUUCCAGGUGUAGCGGUGAAAUGCGUAGAUAUCUGGAGGAACACCGGUGGCGAAGGCGGCGCUCUGGACCGAGACUGACGCUGAGGCGCGAAAGCGUGGGGAGCAAACAGG